AUUGAACGCUGGCGGCAUGCUUUACACAUGCAAGUCGGACGAGUGGCGAACGGGUGAGUAACAUAUCGGAACGUACCGAGUAAUGGGGGAUAACUAAUCGAAAGAUUAGCUAAUACCGCAUAUUAUUCGAGCGGCCGAUAUCUGAUGAGCUGGUUGGUGGGGUAAAGGCCUACCAAGGAGACGCUCAGUAGCGGGUCUGAGAGGAUGAUCCGCCAUGACGGGACUGAUACACGGCCUAUACUCCUACGUGAGGAGGCAGUGGGGAAUUUUGAACAAUGGGGGCAAGCCUGAUCCAGCCCUGCCACGUGUCUGAAGAAGGCCUUCAGGUUGUAAAGGACUUUUGUCAGUGAAGAGGUACCUGAAGAAUAAGCACCGGCUAACUACGGGCCGGCAGCCGCGGUAAUUC
rnacentral:rRNA from 1 species